AGUGAACGCUGGCGGUAGGCCUAACACAUGCAAGUCGAACGGCAGCACAGUAAGAGCUUGCUCUUACGGGUGGCGAGUGGCGGACAGGUGAGGAAUACAUCGGAAUCUACUUUUUCGUGGGGGAUAACGUAGGGAAACUUACGCUAAUACCGCAUACGACCUACGGGUGAAAGCAGGGGAUCUUCGGACCUUGCGCGAUUGAAUGAGCCGAUGUCGGAUUAGCUAGUUGGCGGGGUAAAGGCCCACCAAGGCGACGAUCCGUAGCUGGUCUGAGAGGAUGAUCAGCCACACUGGAACUGAGACACGGUCCAGACUCCUACGGGAGGCAGCAGUGGGGAAUAUUGGACAAAGGGCGCAAGCCUGAUCCAGCCAUACCGCGUGGGUGAAGAAGGCCUUCGGGUUGUAAAGCCCUUUUGUUGGGAAAGAAAAGCAGCAGGUUAAUACCCCGCUGUUCUGACGGUACCCAAAGAAUAAGCACCGGCUAACUUCGUG
rnacentral:rRNA from 1 species